GACUAACAAUAAGUUUGGUUGGGGGAGAAUUGGUCUUGGAAUGGUUGUGGAAACCUCCACUUGGAAAAUUUGUCCUCAGCCCUCAUCUCAUCUCAUACGAGUGCUUCGAUGCUGAAAUGGUUGUGGCGUUGUGCUUUGACAGAGUAAGUUCUUCCCCUUCAAGUACAAUGAUUCCAUCAGCUCGAGCCAUACCUAGGACUUAUGCAUCUUUGUUCUUG
rnacentral:lncRNA from 1 species